CCUACGGGUGGCAGCAGUGAGGAAUAUUGGUCAAUGGACGAGAGUCUGAACCAGCCAAGUAGCGUGAAGGAUGACUGCCCUAUGGGUUGUAAACUUCUUUUAUAUGGGAAUAAAAUGUUCCACGUGUGGGAUUUUGUAUGUACCAUAUGAAUAAGGAUCGGCUAACUCCGUGCCAGCAGCCGCGGUAAUACGGAGGAUCCGAGCGUUAUCCGGAUUUAUUGGGUUUAAAGGGAGCGCAGGUGGAUUGUUAAGUCAGUUGUGAAAGUUUGCGGCUCAACAGUAAAAUUGCAGUUGAAACUGGCAGUCGUGAGUACAGUAGAGGUGGGCGGAAUUCGUGGUGUAGCGGUGAAAUGCUUAGAUAUCACGAAGAACUCCGAUUGCGAAGGCAGCUCACUGGACUGCAACUGACACUGAGGCUCGAAAGUGUGGGUAUCAAACAGGAUUAGAUACCCUUGUAGUU
rnacentral:rRNA from 1 species